rnacentral:rRNA from 1 species
UACGUAGGGGGCAAGCGUUGUCCGGAAUGAUUGGGCGUAAAGGGCGCGUAGGCGGCCGCGUAAGUCCGACGUGAAAUUCCUGUUUUUAAGGUAGGAAUUGCGUUGGAAACUGUGCGGCUUGAGUGCAGGAGAGGUAAGUGGAAUUCCCGGUGUAGCGGUGAAAUGCGUAGAGAUCGGGAGGAACACCAGUGGCGAAGGCGACUUACUGGACUGUAACUGACGCUGAGGCGCGAAAGUGUGGGGAGCAAACAGG